GGGGGACCUUAGUACGGCGAGUGAGCGGUAAAAGCUCAAAUUUGAAAUCUGGUACUUUCAGUGCCCGAGUUGUAAUUUGUAGAAUUUGUCUUUGAUUAGGUCCUUGUCUAUGUUCCUUGGAACAGGACGUCAUAGAGGGUGAGAAUCCCGUUUGGCGAGGAUACCUUUUCUCUGUAAGACUUUUUCGAAGAGUCGAGUUGUUUGGGAAUGCAGCUCAAAGUGGGUGGUAAAUUCCAUCUAAAGCUAAAUAUUGGCGAGAGACCGAUAGCGAACAAGUACAGUGAUGGAAAGAUGAAAAGAACUUUGAAAAGAGAGUGAAAAAGUACGUGAAAUUGUUGAAAGGGAAGGGCAUUUGAUCAGACAUGGUGUUUUUUGCAUGCACUCGCCUCUCGUGGGCUUGGGCCUCUCAAAAAUUUCACUGGGCCAACAUCAAUUCUGGCAGCAGGAUAAAUCAUUAAGAAUGUAGCUACUUCGGUAGUGUUAUAGCUUUUUGGAAUACUGUUAGCCGGGAUUGAGGACUGCGCUUCGGCAAGGAUGUUGGCAUAAUGGUUAAAUGCCGCCCGUCUUGAACCACGGACCAA
rnacentral:rRNA from 1 species